rnacentral:rRNA from 1 species
AGGUCUCUUCGGAGAUACACGAGUGGCGGACGGGUGAGUAACACGUACGCAACCUACCUUGUACUGGAGAAUAGCCCCGGGAAACUGGGAUUAAUACUCCAUAGUCUUCAAUGAUCGCAUGAGAAAUGAAGUAAAACUCCGGUGGUACAAGAUGGGCGUGCGCCCCAUUAGAUAGUUGGUGAGGUAACGGCUCACCAAGUCAGCGAUGGGUAGCUGGCGUGAGAGCGCGACCAGUCACACUGGCACUGAGACACGGGCCAGACUCCUACGGGAGGCAGCAGUAGGGAAUAUUGGUCAAUGGGCGAAAGCCUGAACCAGCCAUGCCGCGUGGAGGAUGACGGCUCUCAGAGUUGUAAACUCCUUUUAUAUGGGAAGAAACCCCCGGAUUCAUCCGGGGCUGACGGUACCAUACGAAUAAGCACCGGCUAACUCCGUGCCAGCAGCCGCGGUAAUACGGAGGGUGCAAGCGUUAUCCGGAUUCACUGGGUUUAAAGGGUGCGCAGGCGGAAAUUUAAGUCAGUGGUGAAAGCCCCGAGCUCAACUUGGGAACUGCCAUUGAUACUGAUUUUCUUGAAUAUAGUUGAGGCUGGCGGAAUACAACAUGUAGCGGUGAAAUGCAUAGAUAUGUUGUAGAACACCAAUUGCGAAGGCAGCUAGCUA